GUGAAUAUAGGUUUCUCUUAUUGGUUGGUGAAUAAAUGCUUAUUGGCUAUUAGCCAGGUAGGAAGUAUAGGCAGGGCUACCAGACUAGGAGACUUCAGGGAAAGGAGAAGGCAGAAAGAGAGAGAGAGAGAGAGCAUGUAGCCACUGGGAAGGUAGGAUCCCCGGGCAUUCUCCAGUUAACCAAGACCAUAUGGAGAUACAUAGAUUAAUAGAAAUGGGCUAAUAACUAAGAGAUAGCUAGAUAAUAAGAAGCCUGAGACAUUGGUCAAACAGUUUAUAAUUAAUACAAGCCUCUGUGUGUUUACUUAAGAUCCAAUGGUGAUGGCACCAGGCAGGCCAGAAACUCACUCAUUAGGUAAUCAUGCUCCACCGACACUUUUCUACAACAGAUGUGGAGAGAGAGCAAAGCUGGCAUGCCACUUGGUGACACAGCAAGGUGUUGGAAGGAAGCCACACGGAGCACCAAGAGAAUGGCAAAGGGCACUUCCUUCAAAUUCUACAGAUGAGAAGGUCCCUGUACAGCCACUGGCAUGGCUUUGGCUGGUUUCAUAUCAGGAGUCACUUUUUUAACACAGCAUGGAAUAGCCACUGGCCCUCACUAAUGGCCUUGUGAUCUCCCUGGGGGUUUUGCACCUUCAUCUGCCACAUGGAUGCCAUGAGCCUAUGACAGAUGGAUGCAGACUUGACACUCUACCCCACCGGUUUUAAAAUUCCAAAAUCCGAUCCCAACUCUGUCUUGGAAAUAGACAGGAAGUUGGUUCAUGCCUGGCUAUGUUUACUUGCAAGCCUUUGGGUUAGCCAUACCGUCUGGCUUCAAAUUGGACAGCUGUACACUUUUCCAGGAUUCAAGCCAAAAUUUUUUUUUAAUGCUGAUUUGCUAAUUGGAUGCCAGGAACUGAGGAUCCAACUGAAUCUUAGGAACAUGGAUAGUCUUACUGUGUUGUGUGAGCACACUGUGAGCCUCCAGCCUUGGGACUGCUAUGGUUUGUGAGCACAAUGUGAUCCUCUAACCUUGAGACAGGAGAUCAAAGGCAGAAGGCUGAAGUUCUGCAGAGCCUUCUCCCACCCUUCUCUCCUUUGGGUCCUGUGAAGAGGAACUGUCUAUUUAAUUACAACAUGCAUAAUAGAUGGACCUUGACAGUUACAGAGGUGAGUCUGGAAUGGGUAAAGCCCUCAAAUAUAUGAAGCUUUCGAUUGUGGAUUAUAGGGAAAUUCCCCAUAUUUGGGAAGAUGUGGAGGACUGGAACCAUUUCUGUAGGGAUCUUGCAGCUAUAACCAGGAUCCUGGAUGUUCCCUGAAUGCAUACAUGUUAGAGGCUUGUCCCUCAGAGUGGAGGGGUUUGGAAGUAUUAGAACCUUUGGGAGGUGGAGCCUAGGUGAAUGAAGG
rnacentral:lncRNA from 1 species